AGUUAACCGUCGUUGCUCGAGAAUUUAUAAGCAUUACUCAACCCCAUUUUUCUGCUAAGAGUUCAACAAUCCCACGUUACCUCCUCAAAACAAAUACAAACCGCACUCACUUCACCCUGCAAAAAAUUUCAUUUCACUGCACUCCAGCAUUUUUUAGCUAAAUGCCGCUUGGACCAUCUUCUUAACGCUUUUCCCACAUUAUUAUUCAAACAAAA
rnacentral:misc_RNA from 1 species